GGAGAGGUGGCUGAGCGGUUUAAAGCGGCGGUCUUGAAAACCGUUGACCCGAAAGGGUCCGGGGGUUCGAAUCCCUCCCUCUCCGCCA
rnacentral:tRNA from 2 species